GCACUCCCGGGGCGUCUCUAUCUCAUUGCGAGAGGAGGCGCACCUAGAGCGUACACGCUGAUACCCGAAAGAUGGUGAACUAUGCCUGGCCAGGACGAAGCCAGGGGAAACCCUGGUGGAGGUCCGCAGCGAUUCUGACGUGCAAAUCGAUCGUCGGAGCUGGGUUUAGGGGCGAAAGACCAAUCGAACCAUCUAGUAGCUGGUUCCCUCCGAAGUUUCCCUCAGGAUAGCUUGCGCUCGGGCGAGACGAGUCUCAUCCGGUAGAGCGAAUGAUUAGAGGCCUUGGGGUCGAAACGACCUCAACCUAUUCUCAAACUCCAAAUAGAUGAGAACCCCGGCUUUCUUGAACUUUGUGAUUGAAGCCGUGGGAUUCGGAUCAGAGUGCCAAGUGGGCCAAUUUUGGUAAGCAGAACUGGCGCUGUGGGAUGAACCAAACGUUGAGUUAAGGCGCCUCAAUCGACGCUCAUGUGAAACCAUGAAAGGCGUUGGUUGCUUAAGACAGCAG
rnacentral:rRNA from 1 species